rnacentral:rRNA from 1 species
GGCAAGCGUUAUCCGGAAUUAUUGGGCGUAAAGCGCGCGCAGGCGGUUUCUUAAGUCUGAUGUGAAAGCCCCCGGCUCAACCGGGGAGGGUCAUUGGAAACUGGGAAACUUGAGUGCAGAAGAGGAGAGUGGAAUUCCACGUGUAGCGGUGAAAUGCGUAGAGAUGUGGAGGAACACCAGUGGCGAAGGCGACUCUCUGGUCUGUAACUGACGCUGAGGCGCGAAAGCGUGGGGAGCGAACAGGAUUAGAUACCCUGGUAGUCCACGCCGUAAACGAUGAGUGCUAAGUGUUAGAGGGUUUCCGCCCUUUAGUGCUGCAGCUAACGCAUUAAGCACUCCGCCUGGGGAGUACGGUCGCAAGACUGAAACUCAAAGGAAUUGACGGGGGCCCGCACAAGCGGUGGAGCAUGUGGUUUAAUUCGAAGCAACGCGAAGAACCUUACCAGGUCUUGACAUCCUUUGCCACUUCUAGAGAUAGAAGGUUCCCCUUCGGGGGACAAAGU